GAUGAACGCUGGCGGUAUGCUUAACACAUGCAAGUCGAACGGACUCUUCGGAGUUAGUGGCGGACGGGUGAGUAACGCGUGAGAAUCUGGCUUUGGGUUCGGGACAACCACUGGAAACGGUGGCUAAUACCGGAUGUGCCGAGAGGUAAAAGAGAAAUUGCCUGAAGAUGAGCUCGCGUCUGAUUAGCUAGUUGGUGAGGUAAAGGCUCACCAAGGCAGCGAUCAGUAGCUGGUCUGAGAGGAUGACCAGCCACACUGGGACUGAGACACGGCCCAGACGCCUACGGGAGGAAGCAGUGGGGAAUUUUCCGCAAUGGGCGAAAGCCUGACGGAGCAAUACCGCGUGAGGGAAGAAGGCUCUUGGGUUGUAAACCUCUUUUCUUAGGGAAGAACAAAAUGACGGUACCUAGGGAAUCAGCAUCGGCUAACUCCGUG
rnacentral:rRNA from 1 species